GACGAAGGUGGCGAGCGUUGUUCGGAAUCACUGGGCAUAAAGCGCACGUAGGCGGUGCCGUAAGUCGGAUGUGAAAUCCCUCGGCCUAACCGAGGAACUGCGUCCGAUACUGCGGUGCUUGAGGACCAGAGGGGUGCAUGGAAUUUCCGGUGGAGCGGUGAAAUGCGUUGAUAUCGGAAGGAACUCCGGCGGCGAAAGCGAUGCACUGGCUGGUUUCUGACGCUGAGGUGCGAAAGCCAGGGGAGCAAACGGG
rnacentral:rRNA from 1 species